rnacentral:misc_RNA from 1 species
UUGAAGAUCAGCCUUAGCACAUGGU